rnacentral:rRNA from 1 species
GACGAACGCUGGCGGCGUGCCUAAUACAUGCAAGUAGAACGCUGAAGGAGGAGCUUGCUUCUCUGGAUGAGUUGCGAACGGGUGAGUAACGCGUAGGUAACCUGCCUGUUAGCGGGGGAUAACUAUUGGAAACGAUAGCUAAUACCGCAUAAUAGUAGAUGUUGCAUGACAUUCGCUUAAAAGGUGCAAUUGUAUCACUACCAGAUGGACCUGCGUUGUAUUAGCUAGUUGGUGAGGUAACGGCUCACCAAGGCGACGAUACUUAGCCGACCUGGGAGGGGGAUCGGCCACACUGGGACUGGGACACGGCCCAGACUCCUACGGGAGGCAGCAGGAGGGAAUCUUCGGGAAUGGACGGAAGGCUGACCGAGCAACGCCGGGGGAGGGAAGAAGGUUUUCGGAUCGUAAAGCUCUGUUGUAAGAGAAGAACGAGUGUGAGAGUGGAAAGUUCACACUGUGACGGUAUCUUACCAGAAAGGGACGGCUAACUACGUG